AACAAUGCAAUUGAGAUUCUCAAUAGAGAAGUUAAAACUGCAAAGCAAUUAACUAUGGAGUGUACUAAAAGAAAUAAACUAUAUCUCCUGAUGAAUUGCCGGACAAUAGUCAAGCGUUUAGAAAACAUCACUAGGGAAAUUAGCCUGGCUCUAGAUCUUCUUCCUUUGGCUACUUUGGAUCUUGCAUCUGGUAUAAUUGAAGAGAUUGCAGAACUCCGACAUAGUCU
rnacentral:misc_RNA from 1 species